rnacentral:rRNA from 1 species
GCUUGCUUUUGAUGGGCGUCGACCGGCGCACGGGUGAGUAACGCGUAUCCAACCUGCCCACCACUUGGGGAUAACCUUGCGAAAGUAAGACUAAUACCCAAUGACGUCUCUAGAGGACAUCUGAAAGGGAUUAAAGAUUUAUCGGUGAUGGAUGGGGAUGCGUCUGAUUAGCUUGUUGGCGGGGUAACGGCCCACCAAGGCGACGAUCAGUAGGGGUUCUGAGAGGAAGGUCCCCCACAUUGGAACUGAGACACGGUCCAAACUCCUACGGGAGGUAACAGUGAGGAAUAUUGGUCAAUGGACGAGAGUCUGAACCAGCCAAGUAGCGUGCAGGAUGACGGCCCUAUGGGUUGUAAACUGCUUUUAUAAGGGAAUAAAGCGAGUCUCGUGAGACUUUUUGCAUGUACCUUAUGAAUAAGGACCGGCUAAUUCCGUGCCAGCAGCCGCGGUAAUACGGAAGGUCCGGGCGUUAUCCGGAUUUAUUGGGUUUAAAGGGAGCGUAGGCCGGAGAUUAAGCGUGUUGUGAAAUGUAGAUGCUCAACAUCUGCAAUGCAGCGCGAACUGGUUUCCUUGAGUACGCACAAAGUGGGCGGAAUUCGUGGUGUAGCGGUGAAAUGCUUAGAUAUCACGAAGAACUCCGAUUGCGAAGGCAGCUCACUGGAGCGCAACUGACGCUGAAGCUCGAAAGUGCGGGUAUCGAACAGGAUUAGAUACCCUGGUAGUCCGCACGGUAAACGAUGGA